rnacentral:rRNA from 1 species
AGCGAACGCUGGCGGCAGGCCUAACACAUGCAAGUCGAGCUAACUCUUCGGAGUUAGUGGCGGACGGGUGAGUAACACGUGGGAACGUGCCUUUUGGUUCGGAAUAACUCAGGGAAACUUGUGCUAAUACCGAAUGUGCCCUUCGGGGGAAAGAUUUAUCGCCAUUAGAGCGGCCCGCGUCUGAUUAGCUAGUUGGUGAGGUAACGGCUCACCAAGGCGACGAUCAGUAGCUGGUCUGAGAGGAUGACCAGCCACACUGGGACUGAGACACGGCCCAGACUCCUACGGGAGGCAGCAGUGGGGAAUCUUGCGCAAUGGGCGAAAGCCUGACGCAGCCAUGCCGCGUGAAUGAUGAAGGUCUUAGGAUUGUAAAAUUCUUUCACCGGGGACGAUAAUGACGGUACCCGGAGAAGAAGCCCCGGCUAACUUCGUG